GAUUAAUUUAAUGGCCGCGGUAUUUUGACCGUGCAAAGGUAGCAUAAUCAUUAGUUUAUUAAUUGUGGACUGGAAUGAAUGGUUGGACGAGAUAUUAGCUGUCUCAUUUUUAAUAUUUGAAAUUAAGUUUUAAGUUAAAACGCUUAAAUUUUUUUAUAGGACGAGAAGACCCUAUAGAUCUUUAUUAUAUUUUUUAUUUAUUUUUUUGGUUUUAAAUUUUAUUUUUAUAAAAUAUAUUUUUUGGUUGGGGUGACUUGGAGAUUUAAUAAACUCUUUAUUUUAUAAUUCAAUUAUUUUUGUAUUUUUGACCUUGUAUUAUUGUUAUAAGAUAUAGAUACCUUAGGGAUAACAGCGUAAUUCUUUUUGAGAGUUCUUAUUGACAAAGGAGAUUGCGACCUCGAUGUUGGAUUAAGAUUAUAGUUUGGUGUAGAAGCUUAAUUAUUAGGUCUGUUCGACCUUUAAAUUCUUACAUGAUCUGAGUUCAAA
rnacentral:rRNA from 1 species